rnacentral:rRNA from 2 species
CUCGUAGCUUGCUAUGAGAACAGUUAGUGGCAGACGGGUGAGUAAUGCAUAGGAAUCUACCUAGUAGUAUAGGAUAGCCACUAGAAGUGGUGGGUAAUACUGUAUAAUCCCUGCGGGGGAAAGAUUUAUCGCUACAUGAUGAGCCUAUGUUAGAUUAGCUAGUUGGUGGGGUAAUGGCCUACCAAGGCAGUGAUCUAUAGCUGGUCUGAGAGGAUGAUCAGCCACACUGGAACUGAGACACGGUCCAGACUCCUACGGGAGGCAGCAGUGGGGAAUAUUGGACAAUGGGCGCAAGCCUGAUCCAGCUAUGCCGCGUGAGUGAGGAAGGCCUUAGGGUUGUAAAACUCUUUCAGUGGGGAAGAUAAUGACGGUACCCACAGAAGAAGUCCCGGCAAACUCCGUGCCAGCAGCCGCGGUAAUACGGAGGGGGCAAGCGUUGUUCGGAAUUAUUGGGCGUAAAGGGCAUGUAGGUGGUUUGGUUAGUUAAAGGUGAAAUGCCAGGGCUUAACCCUGGAGCUGCUUUUAAUACUGCCAGACUGGAGUCCGGGAGA